CAUGCAAGUCGAGCGAGAAGCUAGCUUCGGUUAGUGGAAAGCGGCGCACGGGUGAGUAACGCGUGGGAAUUUACCUUUUGGUGGGGGACAACAGUUGGAAACGACUGCUAAUACCGCAUAUACCCUACGGGGGAAAGAUUUAUCGCCAAGAGAUGGGCCCGCGUUAGAUUAGGUAGUUGGUAGGGUCAAAGCCUACCAAGCCUACGAUCUAUAGCUGGUUUGAGAGAACGAUCAGCCACACUGGAACUGAGACACGGUCCAGACUCCUACGGGAGGCAGCAGUGGGGAAUCUUGCACAAUGGGCGAAAGCCUGAUGCAGCCAUGCCGCGUGAGUGAGAAGGCCUUCGGGUUGUAAAACUCUUUUAGAUGUGAAGAUGAUGACGGUAACAUCAGAAAAAGCCCCGGCUAACUUCGUGCCAGCAGCCGCGGUAAUACGAAGGGGGCUAGCGUUGUUCGGAAUUACUGGGCGUAAAGAGCGUGUAGGCGGCUAGAUAAGUUAGGGGUGAAAUCCCGGAGCUCAACUUCGGAAUUGCCUUUGAUACUGUCUAGCUUGAGAUUGCGAGGGGAUAGCGGAAUACCCAGUGUAGAGGUGAAAUUCGU
rnacentral:rRNA from 1 species